rnacentral:rRNA from 1 species
UCCUGGCUCAGAAUGAACGCUGGCGGCGUGCUUUACACAUGCAAGUCGAGCGAGGCGGCCCGCAAGGGUCAGUCGAGCGGCGAACGGGUGAGUAACGCGUGGAUUAUCUGCCCUGAGGUGGGGAACAACCAGGGGAAACUCUGGCUAAUACCGCAUGAUACCGUGAGGUCAAAGGGGGCUCGCAAGGGCUCUCGCCACAGGAGGAGUCCGCGUUCGAUUAGCUAGUUGGCAGGGUAAUGGCCUACCAAGGCGACGAUCGAUAGCCGGCCUGAGAGGGUGAUCGGCCACACUGGAACUGAGACACGGUCCAGACUCCUACGGGAGGCAGCAGUGGGGAAUUUUGCGCAAUGGGCUAACGCCUGACGCAGCAACGCCGCGUGGAGGAUGAAGGUCUUUGGAUUGUAAACUCCUGUCAGCGGGGAAAAAGCAACCGUACCUCAUACGUGCGGAAGUUGAUUGUACCCGCAGAGGAAGCCCCGGCUAACUCUGCGCCAGCAGCCGCGGUAAUACAGAGGGGGCAAGCGUUAUUCGGAAUUAUUGGGCGUAAAGGGCGCGUAGGCGGCUUGGCAAGUGGAAGGUGAAAUCCCUCGGCUUAACCGAGGAACUGCCCUCCAAACUGCUUUGCUUGAGG